GACGAACGCUGGCGGCGUGCUUAACACAUGCAAGUCGAACGGAAAGGCCCUGCUUUUGUGGGGUGCUCGAGUGGCGAACGGGUGAGUAACACGUGAGUAGCCUGCCCUUGACUUUGGGAUAACUUCAGGAAACUGGGGCUAAUACCGGAUAGGAGCUCCUGCUGCAUGGUGGGGGUUGGAAAGUUUCGGCGGUUGGGGAUGGACUCGCGGCUUAUCAGCUUGUUGGUGGGAUAGUGGCUUACCAAGGCUUUGACGGGUAGCCGGCCUGAGAGGGUGACCGGCCACAUUGGGACUGAGAUACGGCCCAGACUCCUACGGGAGGCAGCAGUGGGGAAUAUUGCACAAUGGGCGGAAGCCUGAUGCAGCAACGCCGCGUGCGGGAUGACGGCCUUCGGGUUGUAAACCGCUUUCGCCUGUGACGAAGCGUGAGUGACGGUAAUGGGUAAAGAAGCACCGGCUAACUACGUG
rnacentral:rRNA from 1 species